rnacentral:rRNA from 1 species
GAUGAACGCUAGCGGCAGGCCUAAUACAUGCAAGUCAAGGGGCCAGUAAUGGCACCGGCGGACGGGUGCGUAACGCGUACACAACGUACCUUUGGGUGGGGGAUAGCAUCGGGAAACUGGUGGUAAUACCCCAUGGUAUUGGAGACUGGCAUCAGUUUUCAAUUAAAGACUACGCCCAAAGAUCGGUGUGCGUCUGAUUAGCUAGUUGGUAGGGUAACGGCCUACCAAGGCGACGAUCAGUAGGGGAUGUGAGAGCAUGAUCCCCCACACGGGUACUGAGACACGGACCCGACUCCUACGGGAGGCAGCAGUGGGGAAUCUUAGACAAUGGGGGAAACCCUGAUCUAGCCAUGCCGCGUGAUCGAUGAAGGCCUUAGGGUUGUAAAGAUCUUUCAGAUGGGGAAGAUAAUGACGGUACCAUCAGAAGAAGCCCCGGCUAACUCCGUG